GCAAAUGGGAAUGAAUGUGGAAAGAAGAAGAGAGCAUAUGGCCAAAAAGUUCAAUCACCACGCGAGAAUUUGGGUUGAUUUUUAUCAAACAUUAGUUCGCGGUCUCUAUAUACAUCAUACAAAUUUAUGUGCUUGCAUUAAUCAUAUUCUAGAGCUCAUCCAAAUCCAAAUGAGCUCGUGCUGGAAAGAAUAAGAGGGCCCGGUAAUUUAUUGUUGAUGCAUUCAUUUUAGCUAUCUUCGACGUUAAGAAAAUGAUCUAUCAUGUGAACGUCUACGGCAAUAAUGAAAAAGCUUGAGCUAGCCUUCAAAACUCUCAUACGACACAAGAUCUUGCCCAUUUUUUAUACUUCAAUUUUGUCGUGCCAAUUGAAUUAAGUUUGAUAUAUAGAUAGAUCUUCAGGUGUCGUGCCCACUCCUGUUCCAAGUCAAGAUCCGAACAACACGUUCAUUAAUUUUAAAGUCCUUCUCGCAGUCCACAGCUGCUACGAUCGCUUCUAUUAAAAACGAUCGUGAGCAAGUGUCACUACGGAACCAGCCACCGUACAUGACUCCGUGCGUUGGGCUCCUACCAGACGCAAAGUGCAGAGAAAGUCAAACGUUUGACGUGCCGCAAUAUCCUGUUGCGUAGCGAUCGCUUCGGCUCAUCUUCUCCCAUGUCGAGUUCAUCAUCAGAUUCAUCCACCUUCAGCAAAGGCAAUUCCCCGAUCACCCUAGUCGCAACGACAGGCGUAAUUGCAGGGGCUGCGGUAGUGAUUGCCGUCAUCAUCUUCAUGGUCAACAGAUGCCUUCGGAGCGCCAAACUGCGUGCGGUUUCUGCAGAGGAGCAAUUAGCCGAGGUCGCGACUCCGAGUUGUCCUCGGUGAUUCAUUCAAUGGAGAUUUAGAUCUUGUACGAGUUCCUCUGG